rnacentral:rRNA from 1 species
AUUGAACGCUGGCGGCAGGCCUAACACAUGCAAGUCGAGCGGAUGAAGGGAGCUUGCUCCUGGAUUCAGCGGCGGACGGGUGAGUAAUGCCUAGGAGUCUGCCUGGUAGUGGGGGAUAACGUCCGGAAACGGGCGCUAAUACCGCCUACGACCUGAGGGAGAAAGUGGGGGAUCUUCGGACCUCACGCUAUCAGAUGAGCCUAGGUCGGAUUAGCUAGUUGAUGGGGUAAAGGCCUACUAAGGCGACGAUCCGUAACUGGUCUGAGAGGAUGAUCAGUCACACUGGAACUGAGACACGGUCCAGACUCCUACGGGAGGCAGCAGUGGGGAAUAUUGGACAAUGGGCGAAAGCCUGAUCCAGCCAUGCCGCGUGUGUGAAGAAGGUCUUCGGAUUGUAAAGCACUUUAAGUUGGGAGGAAGGGCAGUAAGUUAAUACCUUGCUGUUUUGACGUUACCAACAGAAUAAGCACCGGCUAACUUCGUG